rnacentral:rRNA from 1 species
UACGGAGGAUCCGAGCGUUAUCCGGAUUUAUUGGGUUUAAAGGGUGCGUAGGCGGCCUGUUAAGUCAGGGGUGAAAGACGGUAGCUUAACUAUCGCAGUGCCCUUGAUACUGAUGGGCUUGAAUGUAGUUGAGGUAGGCGGAAUGUGACAAGUAGCGGUGAAAUGCAUAGAUAUGUCACAGAACACCAAUUGCGAAGGCAGCUUACUAAAGUAUGAUUGACGCUGAGGCACGAAAGCGUGGGGAUCAAACAGG